AAUUGAGAGCAAGCUGUCUGUGACAUCUGUCAACCCCACUGAUGGCCAGAAUUGAUUUGGUGGAUCUGCCCUUCUGGAAAGGUGUCCUCUUUCUUCCUGGCUCUGCCACAUGUGUCUGUCCCAAAGCUGCAUGCUUCAUUGAAGAGGAUGAUUUUCCUAGAUAGAGGAGGACAAGGAUCUAUACGGAGUCAGGUUCUUCUGCUGGAAUAUCCAAGGCAUGUUAAGUAGGUUAUCCUGCCUGGGAUAGAUAAUGAGCCACUUGAAGGUGGAGAUUUCAUCUUU
rnacentral:snRNA from 1 species